rnacentral:lncRNA from 1 species
UCAUCUUAAUGAUUAAGAAACCAUAUCAAAAUUAGUUCUCUAAGGAAAUCUUAGUGCAUUCUUAUGACUAAGAAGAGGAACUUGAAUUGUUGAAAUGGUUAAAUCAAGAAGAUGAGUCAUACUUCGUUCCAAUACAAGUCUUAGAGUCAUACUCCAAGAUUGUCAUUUGAGUGACAUGUCUUAAAGAAGGUUUAAAACACUUGUCAAAUGUAAGAGUAAAAGUUUUCUACUCUUGUACAUUUGAAAUUGGUAAGUUGUGAUGUUUUGGAUAAAACAAAGACCAACUUAGGCCAAUUGGGUAAAGUGUUUUUCUUGAUUAGAAUCCGCACUAUCUCUUGGAUGUUUGACAAGGGAGUCUUAUAUGUCAAGAGGACAGUGGGAGUCUUAAAGGUCUUGAAAGUCUCAAGAACUAAUCAAGAAUAAAACCUGAAGUUCUUCACUAGCACACGACUUGAGGUUUAUAACCUAUCGUGUUGACAUAUCUGUGCCCAUUCCAGUUAAAGUUGGCUUUGCAUAUGAGUUCUUAGAGUUCUCAGUUUGUUGCAUAACAACUUGGAAGCAAUGGCAGGCCCUUGAGCUGCCAGGUGGCAAGAAGUUAAGAUUGAGUUCAAUCCAUAUGGUUUUGGAUUUGUCAUUAUCUUUGUCUUGUGAUUAUGGUUUGACAAAUUCAUAUGGGUAGGAACUCAUACACCAUAUAAAUCUAAGUGUCAUAAGGUUUCUCUCCGAUUCAUGAAAAUGAUGGUGAGGAAACACUUUCACUAAGUAGAUUUUAUCUAGAUAGCAAUUGUGAUAUUUGCAUUCUCAAAGUCGUUAGUGGAGCGCGUGUGGUUAACCGGCACACUAACCUGGACUUGUGAGAAGUGGCAAAAAGGUCUAACCAUUAUGAUUACGGCAUACCUCUUCAUAAUUGUUUAGACACACAAGUGUGCUAUCUAAGGGAAGGUGUAUGAUUUUGAUAAAGUUUUAUCAAAACAAUCUAGCAUCAGAAAUCUGAACUUUGGUAAGAAAGUCAAUGAAGUAUUGAUUUCUAGAAGUCCAGCUGAUUUCUGAGUACAUGUCAAAGCUAGUGGGAGCAUAAGUGUUAUGCUAAUAAUCAUCAUGUUAGUGGGAGCAUGAUAAUUAUGAUAAGUAUUGCAAGUUAGCAAUGUUAAUUAUAGAAAACAAAAGUUUCAAUUGGGAAAAAGUUGUUUUGCUAUAAUUAAGGGAGAGGAAAUUAUGCUUCAUCUCAAAUCUAUAAGCUUAGAUCGUGAGGUUUUAAUCAUUUAGUCAAGGAUAUAUAUGAAUUUCAUGUUGGAAUGGCUCAACAUAAGGAAAUUCUGUAUAUGGGUCCAUUAUUUGCGUUCUAAAAUUCGAUUAUGAUUACGGCAUCCCUUUUCAUAAUCUGAAUUAUGAGAACUUGGCAAAUUGAAAUGGAAAUGUUAUAGCAAAAGACUGGUUUAGUCUUUAUGUGAGACAUCAUGAAUCGUGUCCCAUAUGCUUCGGAUAUAGGAUCGAUUACAUGUGCUAUAUUCAUCCGUUCUAAAAUUUUCCAAAUGCCUGGGGCAUUAAGAAGGGAAAAGGUUUAGAACUGGAUAUGACUAAAAGGAUUAAACAAUUGUCGAGGACAAUCUAAGGUUUACCAAAGAUUGGUUGCUCAAGGACAGUUGGAAGUAUAGUGAUAAUUCUGGAAGGACCAUAUUGACAUAAUCUGUAAGGAGGCAACUCUUGUUCAGAAGUGAUAGUCAAAAUGGAAUCUGGAAAUGUUUCAAAGUUAGAAUUUUCAAUCUGUUUAAGAUUAGGAAACUUAAUGCAAGAAGGAUGUUUCCAAGGAGCUGAUCUCCUUUGGAAUACUCUGUAAUGAUUGUUGUCAAGUCUUUCUGACUUUGUGCAUAAUCAUUACAAGAGGAUCAAUGCAUAUAAGUUUAGAAUCUAACAGAUUUCAGUAAAUGGCAUGAAUUUGGAAUUCUUGCAUUUGCAGUAAGGAUUUGGGAGUGUGAAAAGAGAAUCAUUGAAGUUAUGUUCAAUUGAUCUAGUUCACAAAGUAAAGAUCAUAGACAAACAUAGUAUGCAUACUUGGUGUGUGGCAUGACUAGUGUUUAAGAAAACAUAGUGUACAUGCUUGGAGCAUGGGACAACUAUUGUUUUAAAUUCAAGAAUAAAGUUGAUAGCUGAAACAGUAUACAAUGAAUAAUGUGUAAUCAUAUGGUGAUAAAUAAAAGGUGUUUUAUUUAUGUUCAAAGGGUUGAUACCAUAUUGGAUUCAAUUAUUAUUGUGUUUCACUUUGCAUGUUUUGACUUCCCGAAUAAACUAGGUUAUUCUUCCGGAAUGACUAAGUUAUUCAAACCAUCCACAGUCGGUCAUAUGUUGGAAGUAGAUAUGAAUUAAGACUGUCAUGGGUUGGCUUGUAGAGGUCUAAGGUGUUGGACAAAGGGCUACAACACUCAUGAGUGCUCAUAAGUUCUGAGUAUUGGAUUCAACCCGCGCUCAUUGGAAUCACUUCAUGGAUUUUAUCACGAGUGAUCAUGAGACGAUAAUAUCUUAUAUUCUUCAAACCUAGAGAUAUGAGUUGUUACUAUGAGUUGAUAGUACAUUGAUUGCACGAAAACGCAUUUGGUAACUCGGUGCUAUAAAACGUGCCUUUGUGUAUGAUUCAACAAGUAGUAGAACAAGCCAUAUGAGUCGAAGUUUAUCCGUUCCUUUUACCUUCGGGAUAAAAGCGAUAUCUGUGGGCCCCUCGAUGAUUUGAUGAUGACAAAUGGAAGUGCUCGGCCGGGCCAGGACUGAUUUGAUUUGUUCAAUUAGUCAGUCGUCAUAAAUCGGAAAUCGGGAAACAACAAAUGGACAGAGAGAAUGAUUAUAAUCCAUGUCUCAGUCCAUAUGAUAUCUAGAAUGGAGGAAUAUAUGAUCCCUUAUCUAAUGGACAAGUCAUUGACAAAGGUCAGAGUUCAUCUACAAGGUCAGAGUUCGACAGAAGCUUUUGAGAGCUACGAUUGCCAGUUGGUUCCUGAAGUCAUACGCAAUAAUAGUUUUAGACUUAUCCAAGUGGGAGACUGUUGGAUUAAUGUCUAAGUCCAUAACUAUAAUUGGUAAGACUUGACCCGACCCGGCAUGGUCCAUUUGGGUUGCAUACCAUCAUGCACUUGGAUAGACUAUAAUGAGAGAAAUAAGACACUUAUGGUUAUUAAUAUAUUAUAAGUUCUAGUAUAUUAAUAAUAAGAAUAAUAAGAUUAUUUAAUUAGUAUUGAUCAAGAAUUAAUCUAGGAUUAAUUAAGUGAUCAAAAGAAGACUAAUUAAAUAUAUGGGUUGAUUGUGUAAAUCAUCCAUACUUGUAUAGUGGGCUAAUGCUCCAUGGAUAAUCAAGUUGGGCUAAAACCCAUAGGAUGGUCCAUGGAUGCUCCAUGGUGUAUUUGUACCCAUGGAUCCAAGGAAAUGGAAAGCCAUGACAAUUAAGAGUUUACCCUAAUUGUGUAACUAUAUAAGCAUCUUAUUAUUGAGGAAAAAUCGGCCACUAGUAGUAUUCAAGAAAGGGCUAGCCGAUUUUGGUGAGUGUAGAAUUCUCUCAAGUCAUUCUAAGUGUUUUGAUGAUUGUGAUUCCAUUUGAGGUGUCACACUUGGGGCACUAGGCACUCAAGCUUCAUGAAGACUUUCUACACCAAAGAGGUAUGUAUUCUAUCUUGCUAUAGUCAUUGUUUUGUAUGCUAGAUUAGGAUAAUACCUUGGAAGUUCUUAUUUGCAUGUAUAAUAGAGAAAACAUAGAUCCAAGGUAUUUAGGGUUGCAUGUACACUUAGGAAGUGUUAGAAUGCUCAAAACCCAACAGUGGUAUCAGAGCCACGGGUUGUUUUCUGUUAUAUUGAUGCAAAUAUUUUAUUUUCAAAGUUGAAAAAAAAAAAAAAAAAAAACAUGAAGUUUGUCAAAUUUUAAGAUAAUUACUUGUUCUUGUGAAAAACUAAUUAUUUGUAAAAUUUGAAUAAUUUGCUUUAUGAGUUGAAUUAGGUCAAAUUUAAUAAAAGAUAAAAUAAUAUGAUUAUUUUAUUAGUUUUAAAAGUUUGAUCUAAAGAGUUUUAUUUUUUGAAACCUCCAUAAGUUAUGGAUAUGAAAAGGUUUUAAAAAAAAAAUUGAUUCAAAGUUUUUUUGGAGUUACAAAAUUUGGUGUUAAUGUUUUAAAGGAUUCCAUAACUUAAGAAUAAGUUAUGGAUCACCAAAAGUUUUUUGUGUUACCUUGUUUUAUGAGUGAAUUUAGAUUAAUGAAUAAAAUUAUGUGAUAGUUGGUUUUAAUCCAAAUUAAUCUAAGAAUUGAUUCUAAAAUGUGUUUUUGUAACUUGUCCUCAAGUUAUAUGAAAAGUCACAUUUAAGAAUCAUAAAACUCAUAAAAAUUGGCAAAGGUUACAAAAAUGAAGAGUCUAGUUCUAAUUAAAUGGUUUUAUGACUCCAUAACUUGUCCUCAAGUUAUGGAGGACCAAGAGUCUCUUCAUUUAAUAAAAUAAAAUAAAUUAAAAAAAAGGUGUAACCUUAAUUAAUUCCAUAAGUUAUAAAAUAAAGAAAAGUUAAUUCUUUUAUUAGUUUAAAGUCUUCCAUAACUUGUCCUCAAGUUAUGGAACUUGAAGAGUUUUUGGAUUAAAACUACUUUAAACACAUAAGUUAUGGAAUUAAUUAGUUUUGAAUAGUUUCAAAACUUGCCCUCAAGUUUUGGAAUUUGUAAAGUUUUCACUUAUGAAUACUUUAAUUCCAAGUUAGCCCUUAGAAUUUUAAAAGUUAAAAUUCAACCCUUAUACUUUAUAAUAUUAUAAGUUAAUAAUAUAUAUAUGUAUAAGAGUAAAGUCAGUCUUACCGCUAGUACGCCUCAUUCACGAAGCCGGUCUAUAAGGUGGGUAUAAGGUUGUUGCCUAUAAAAUGGCAACUUAAUGGGUGUCCACUCUCACCCACCGCUUGCUUGACUGGUGGAGGGUCGUUAGCCGAACGGGUUUGACAGGACUAUAAUUCUCCCUUCAUUAAAAGUAUUAAUGAUAAAUACUAAGUAACUAAACUCUUAAUAAUACCCAAUCUUAGUUACUUAGGAAAAUGUGAAUAAGGUGCUAAUCCAUGAAAUUACACUUUGCACUUUGUUUAAGUCGGUUAGUGGAGCGUGUGUGGUUAACCGGCACACUAACUCGUAUUUAACAAGGUAGGCAAAGGGUAACUUAAUGUUUAUCAUAGUAUCGAUGGAGCGUGUGUGGUUAACCGGCACAUCGAUUGAGGGGUAAACACUUAAGGGUACCAAGUAAUUUGCAUGGUUACUUCACACCUUGUUUUGUGAUCCUCGGCAUCCCAGUCACAAAACCUGAAGGGCACACUCGAGAUUGAAACAUGCCAUUGAAAAGUUCAAUGAAUCUCAAAAGAUCUAGGAGUUUCAAAUCCAAUUAAAACCUAAUAAAUUAUUUCGUUUUUCAUGGUGGAAAUUGGUGAAUCGUCAUUCACCUACCUUCAAAUAUUCUAUAGCUUGGAUUACGGCAUCCCUCUUCCAAGUUAUAAAAUAGUUUGUUGGGUCCUAGCCUUAAUAUUUCAUAUUGGGUGUUAUAUUAAGGACUUUAAAUCAACUAUCUUGAAUAUCUCCCAAAAGAUGUCUAGUUCAGACAUCUAUGAUCUUCCCAAAUAUCUUGGAACUUCACUUCCUCCACCUCCUCCAAUUAUUCUCCCUAACCCACAAGUUCAAGGUCACUCAAGCCCUAUUGGCAAGGCAAGGUCUAGGUGUGAUCACAUCUUGGAGAUGAAGUCACAUACUGACAAGCCGGGAGAGUUGGGUGUCAAAGUCUUAAGAAAGUUAGUGGUUCAAUCACUUUCUAAGUCACAUAGUGAGUUCCUUGGGACUCCUAUGAAACAGACUAUGACAAGACCCUUAAUGAUCUUAUCUAUUUGCUUGGUGCUGCUAAAUCAGAAAUGAUUUAGUGUACUAGUAAAGCAAAUUUGAUUAGGAGAUCAACUUCCCAAAACUUUAUGGACAGGGACAAUAGUGACACAGGAAAUCCAGAAAAGCAUUCUCUUCCCAAUGGAAAGGGAUCGGCCAUAGUCAACUCGGUUGACCAAAUGGUAAAGAGAAAGGCUAAGUCUGAGAUAGUCCCAUGUACUAUUACCUAAGGGUCCAUAUGGUCCUAUUGCCAAAAGGAAAGGGCAUUGGUUGCGAAGCUGUCAAUUUUACCUGAAAGAUCAUAAGGCUAGUAAAGUCAAUAAGUUUGACUCUAUUUCAGGUAAGGUCCACUAUCUAACUCGGUUAAGUUUCUAUUCUGAGAUUCUUAUUACAAGAUGUGACUGGGUCACAUGUUGAUGUUUAAGAAUCAAAGGAAAAGUGAAGGAAACUUAAAGAAAGAGUAUGUUGAAUCUGAUCGCGAAGAUGGAUUUCUAUCGCUUGAUUGAAGAUUGGAUUCUUGAGCUACUCUUAGGAGUUAUGAUAGAUUGCUAGGAAACAAGUAAUAACAUAGUUUUCAUUUCAAGUUACAUUGUAAGGAAAAAGUUUUUUCCGCAUUUUAAAAUAAAUAAAAGUUUGUUUUACUUUAUUUUUAUCUCCUUACAAUGGCAUUCAUGAAAACUUGAUGUUUGUAUGUUUAUAGCAAUAUUGGAAAUAUGAAUUUGAUUCUUUCAUUUGUGGUAGUGUCUAAAUUUACCAAAUAAGGAAAGAUUCUCAUCACCCAAGUUUCAAUUGGACCGAAACUUGGAAUCAUGCAAGUUGUAUAGUAUGAUGAAUGAGAACUUUCGAGCAUUGGAAAAAUUAAGACUAACUACUUGUUCACAUGGAUGUGUGAGUCAAGAGAAGGACUAAGGGAUCAAGUACACUUUCUUGUGCACUUGUCAAAGUCCACCACAAAAGAUGGAUAAGACUAUUCGUCAUGAUUUACUAAGGUUUAGUAAAUAUGAUUAUACUUACAAGCUUAAGUAUAAUUCUGAAGCAUUGGAAAAUUUUCAAUGUAUGACAGAACGAAUAAGAAGAAUCAAAUUAGGCAGAAGGAUAAAAGUUUCUCAAAUCUGAAAAGAUCGGAGAGUACUUUAGUAUCAUGUUUUAAGGUUAUCUUAAUGAUUUUUAGACCUUAUCACAAUUCAUCCUCUAAGUACAUUCUGAUAGUUAAGAAGAGGAGUUAUGAAUUGUUGAAGUGGUUAAAUCAAGAAGAUGAUUCAUACUUCAUUCCAAAACAAUUCAUAGAGUUAUCCUCUAAGAUUGUAACUUGAGUGACAUGUCUUAAAGAAGGUUUAAAACACUUGUCAAAUAUAAGAGUAAAAGUUUUCUACUCUUGUACAUUUGAAAUUGGUAAGUUGUGAUGUUUUGGAUAAAACAAAGACCAACUAAGGCUAAUUGUGUUAAGUGUCUGUCUUGAUUAGAAUCCACACUAUCUCUUGAAUAUUUGGCAAGAAAGUCGUAUAGGUCAAGGAGACAGUGGGAGUCUAAAAGAUCCUGAAAAAGGUUUCAAGAAGUAAUCAAGAAUAAAACCUGUAUUUCAUCGCUAGCACACAGGUAGAGGUUUAUAACCUAUCGUGCUGACAUUUCUAUGCCCAUUCCAGUUAAGUUGCCUACACAAUUGAGUUCUACAUGUUCUCAAUUGUUUGGAU